GACGAACGCUGGCGGCGUGCUUAACACAUGCAAGUCGAACGAUGAAGCCCAGUUUGCUGGGUGGAUUAGUGGCGAACGGGUGAGUAACACGUGGGCAACCGGCCCCAAACGCUAGGAUAACUCCUCGAAAGGGGUGCUAAUACCGGAUACGAACUAGAAAGACGUAUGUACUAGUUGGCAAGGUUGUCGGUGUGGGAUGGGCCCGCGGCCUAUCAGCUGGUUGGUGAGGUAACGGCUAGCCAAGGCUACGACGGGUAACCGGCCUGAGAGGGCGACCGGUCACACUGGGACUGAGACACGGCCCAGACUCCUACGGGAGGCAGCAGUGGGGAAUAUUGCGCAAUGGGCGAAAGCCUGACGCAGCGACGCCGCGUGAGGGAUGAAGGUCUUCGGAUCGUAAACCUCUUUCAGUAGGGACGAAGCGAAAGUGACGGUACCUAAAGAAGAAGCACCGGCUAACUACGUGCCAGCAGCCGCAGUAA
rnacentral:rRNA from 1 species